rnacentral:rRNA from 1 species
UGGGGAAUAUUGGGCAAUGGGCGCAAGCCUGACCCAGCAACGCCGCGUGAAGGAAGAAGGCCCUCGGGUUGUAAACUUCUUUUGUCAGGGACGAAGCAAGUGACGGUACCUGACGAAUAAGCCACGGCUAACUACGUGCCAGCAGCCGCGGUAAUACGUAGGUGGCAAGCGUUAUCCGGAUUUACUGGGUGUAAAGGGCGUGUAGGCGGGGAAGCAAGUCAGAUGUGAAAUUCCAGGGCUCAACCCUGGAACUGCAUUUGAAACUGUUUUUCUUGAGUGAUGGAGAGGCAGGCGGAAUUCCGUGUGUAGCGGUGAAAUGCGUAGAUAUACGGAGGAACACCAGUGGCGAAGGCGGCCUGCUGGACAUUAACUGACGCUGAGGCGCGAAAGCGUGGGGAGC